GCAUGGUGUAGCAGACCUGUGUUUAUAUAAGUAACAUGGUCAGGGGACUUCAGAUUUCACUGGCUGAGGCCAAAUGAGUGUUUAAUUCUGAAGGAGAUGUGGGCGGAGGACACAGUAAAAGGGUCAGCCCAAACUCAAGAGAAGGUAGAAGAGUCUCCCAGUCCUGAUGGAAAGCUUCUUGGGGACUUCCUGAUGAUUGAGCAUUUAUGCAUAUUGUUUUAUGCUACAACAUCCUGCUUCUUCUGGCCAUGGAGGCGUAUUCAGCCUGUAUGAAGAGCAAACCAAAAGUAAUGAAAAGGAUACUUCAAUCAAUGCAAGGUGGAAGAUGGUGAAUAAAUGCCCCAGCUUCCCUACCUUCAGAUAAGAUAACUCUGAGCCAUGUUCUACCCCAUCUUCCAAAUGUCUCCACGGGAUAAAGUCACAGGUUCCUAUAUUGACCUGCUUACUAAUGUACACUAAGUUGACUGCCUCCCCUUCUGUAUCACACUUCCCCUUACCCGAGGUGUGCUUGCUGGAAUCACCUCCAAAAACUUCUCACUUUUAAGUAUUUGUUUCAAAGUCUGUUUCUGGAGGUACAAACUUGAGACAACAGCUGGAGAAUGGGAGUUGUCUUGGUCAGCUUUGACAUUCUCUGGCUCCUGUUUCUGUGUCUACUCCAUGUGCUAUCUCCCUCCUUACUAUCCCCCGCUCUCCCUUAGAAACAACCAUAUGGAUAUAGUUCCAGUGGGUUUUAGUUUUUAAGACAAACUGACCAAGCUGAUCCUAUAUCCACCACAGAUAGUGUCUCAGCUCUCUGUUAUUAAUUGUCAGGGACACACUGGUCAGUUGGGACCCAAGUACUCUGAGUUUCAGCCCUUUCUAUUUUCACAGCCACUCUGGGAAAAUACUUAUAUGAUACCUACCAGAUCCUAUAGGAAAAACAAAAUACUGGCAGGUUGCUUGCCAUGAACUUAUGGUGGUAGGGCUCAGGAAUAAUUCAGUUCCCCUGCUACUUUCCCACUUUGCUUUAGUUAGGCAGCCUUUUGAGACACUUACAUUCUCUUUUUCAUCAUAUUAGAUUAAGCUAGAUCCCUGUAUGGGGGUUACAGAGAUCCUGUUAGCUCAACUGUUGAUUCUUAAAGAACUUUGUGGAAGGCAGAAUAAUAAACCCUCCUCAGAGAUGUCCACACAUUAAUCCCCAA